CAGCUCUGUCACCAGCAAGUCACGGAACCCCUCAGUCCUUCCCUGGGUAUCGGGGGAGCUGGACAAGGUGGCCUCCAGGGGUCUGCCCACUUCCAGGCUUCCUAGAAUUCAAACAGGGGAGAGCAAGUAUCCUAAGCCUGGAGGGCCAGGUCAGAAUCCUUUCUCUGGAACCUUCUGUCAUAUGCCCAAAGUCCUCAUGGGAGAGCCCCAGUGUCCUGAUCUGCAGAAGCCACAGGCAGGACCCUGCCCCCUACUCCGGAUUGCCAUGAGGAUGGAAACAGGUGAUGCGGUUGGAAGAGGUUUGUAACGGGCCAGCUGUUGAUAAGUGGAGCAAUUUGGCCUGCCGAGCUCAACUCUCCUCCUCCUGUACUUCUGCAAGCCACACGACCCUUCUGUAACCUGCUUAGCCUCCUUGGUUCUUAAAGAUGCAGCUCAGUUGCCACCUCCCCCAGGAAGUCCUCCCUGAUUUGCAGACUUAGGACAGGCUGCCAAAGCCCUUCUCAUCCGCUUGUAUCAGAAUGUCUGUCUCAACCACUAGACUGAACUGCUUGUGGAUGAACCUGUGUUUCAUAUGCAUCUGACUGCCUGGAACAGUGCCUGGAACCUAAGCUGUGGAGAAACAAACCGUCAUUGUACAUCCAUUGCUGGAGGGGAUGGAACCUGGCACAGCC
rnacentral:lncRNA from 1 species